GUUGGUAGGUGGAUGUGUGUUAAGUUAAUAGAUAUUCAGACGUCAGUAUGUAGGAGUGUUUGCUCCUGUUGUGACAGGUUUUACAGAAUACGUGUAGAUUCACUAACACUAAUUAGCUGAGAUGACACCCUCACACACACACACACUCAGCACUGGCCAUUAUCCAGAGAGCAAGGGUGGAUGACGGGGUGGGGUGUUUCCAUGGCGACCAGGGUGACAGAAAGACGAGAGGCUCUGCCUCCUGACCCUCAUUGAGGAGUUGAAUGACUGUCGCUGAGCUGGUUGCUCAUCAGCCGGUCGUCGUCACAAUACAAGAGGCAGGAGAGAGAGCGAGGCGGAGAGCGUUCCAGCGGCCAUUUUAGCUUCAUCAGUCUGCCUGAAGUACUUAGCAUUAGCAUCAGAAAGACACGGCUAAGAGCAUCAAAAGCCCUGCAGCCCCUGCCUUUGUGUUUGUUUCACCAUGCAAACCCAACAGCACAGGAGGUUUUUAUUUAUUCAGACUGUGGUUACAGGCCCAGACUUGCAGUGCAUUUGUACAAAUAUGGUAGAAAUUUGAACAAAAACAGCUGCAGGUGCAACCGUCUACACGCAGGAAAAGCUGCAGGGCAACACAGGAAAGGGUUAAGUUGAUCAUUAAACUUGUAUUUGCUCUGUAAUCGGGACGUUUCCUAGCAUAAACAUUCACCUGUCAGCGCCAGGACUGAGCACUGAAUGUAGGUUAUGUUAAGAGCAGGGUUAGGCGUUAAUUGGUUAUGGUUAAGAUAAGGGAUUUCCCUUUUUCCCGAAUGAAUGAGAGUCAGUGUAUCUUGUGUUUUGUGUUUGUGAAUUUAUAUCUUUGUGAGGUCCAAAAAAACGCCUCUUUGUGGGCACAUUUUGACCUUUUGCUUAUCUUUAGAUGUUGCUCGUCUCUGUGCUCUUUUGUUCUAGAAGAAGAACACUUUCAGAGAACCAGAUUAACAAUUUAAAGACUGCAAAGACACCAGAUCACCUGAUACAGAGCCAAACAUUCCUUCUCAGUGUGAUACCUCGACAGGGUCAGAGGCGCAGGGCACCGGUGGUUUUGUUUUUGACAAGCAAUUUGUUUUAGUGUCCAAAGUACAGCAUGAAAUUGAAGAAUGGGGGGACUCUUCCCACAGAAGAAGAAAUGUAAUAUAUAUCAUCAUUUAUUCCACCUAGGGUUUAGAGUGAACUCCAUUCUCGUGCAAUGACACAUAACAAGGUGGGAGAGGAUCCUCCUCCACUUGAAUCUCAAACAACACAGCUGAUACUCUGACGACACAACACACUACACUGCACCACAGACGCAGAGAAAGACACCAAAGAACAAGGAGAUUGUUCGGGGGCGUCGGUUCCUGAGUGACAAAGAAGAAGAUGUGAAUGGAGGUCUGUUUGUGUCGGCUGCUUUUCGGACUGGGUCUAAAGAAAAUCCCUGGAUUGAUUUGGUCCAAGUCAAACCACUUUUGGAUCAGUCCUCCUCCCCCCACCAAAGGGCUGAGUCCUCAGUAAAUCACGGCUGACUCUACAUGAGACGCGUGUUUGGAAAUCCUCGUGGGAUGAGUGCCGUCUGCAUCACCCAUCACAGCGCAGAUCACAAACAAUAACAGGGCUCAUUUCCCUCCUCCUGUCCCAGAGGAGCGGCCUCCGGGGUCAGAGGGGGGGCGUGUCAACCCUGGUCAAGCCCCUGCAGACGGAGGAGGCAUACAUGACGACGACGACGUCUGUUUGUAGGACACACACACACACACGUACACAGACGAGUGUAUGUUACAACCUAGGAUGUUCUUGAGACGAAACUUGAGUCGAAUGACCCCCGAGCACAUCACAGAUACCUCAACACGUCCACAAACACACAUGCACUCAUGUUUCAAUCCUGCAUGUUUACCAUUUUAUCCCAUGAAUUAAAACAUUUCUUUAAAUCUGUAGAAAUAAAAUAAGAAUUGUUCUCACACUUGCACAACUUGGUAAGAAAGAAAAAAACACAUUUAGCCAAAAUACUCUGCAGUAUUUGUUGAUUAAUCCCUGAAAAUGCAGUAUUAUAAGACAUCCUUGUACGUACUAUCACAAUGUAUGUUGGUGCAGAAAACCAUGAUAUUACAUUGAUUCCAUACCAAAAAAAAGACAUACACAAUA